rnacentral:rRNA from 1 species
GACGAACGCUGGCGGCGUGCUUAACACAUGCAAGUCGAACGGAAAGGCCCUGCUUUUGUGGGGUGCUCGAGUGGCGAACGGGUGAGUAACACGUGAGUAACCUGCCCUUGACUUUGGGAUAACUUCAGGAAACUGGGGCUAAUACCGGAUAGGAGCUCCUGCUGCAUGGUGGGGGUUGGAAAGUUUCGGCGGUUGGGGAUGGACUCGCGGCUUAUCAGCUUGUUGGUGGGGUAGUGGCUUACCAAGGCUUUGACGGGUAGCCGGCCUGAGAGGGUGACCGGCCACAUUGGGACUGAGAAACGGACCAGACUCAUACGGGAGGCAGCAGUGGGGAAUAUUGCACAAUGGGCGGAAGCCUGAUGCAGCAACGCCGCGUGCGGGAUGCCGGCCUUCGGGUUGUAAACCGCUUUCGCCUGUGACGAAGCGUGAGUGACGGUAAUGUGUAAAGAAGCACCGGCUAACUACGUG